UGUAAUCGCUGCGUGCUUUGUGUACGUAGAGGAAAGUCCAUGCUCACACAAACUGCGAUGUUUGUAGUGUUCAUGCUUGACGAAAAAAUAAGUCAAGGUAGCUUUAUAUAAGGCUAACGGCAGGAGUUUAUUCCUACGUCGAUUUUGAUAUGGAAUAAAGCCUUGAAAGUGCCACAGUGACGAGGAAGGUUGGAAACAAUCGGAAGUGGAACGGGUAAACCCCAUGAGUGAGCAACCCAAACUAUGGUAGGGGCACUCUCUUAGUAGGAAAUGAACGAACGGAGAGACGAGUAGUAAAUACUUGUAGAUAAAUGAUUACAGCUGGAGUACGAGGUUGACCACCGUUUGUAGUACGAAAGAACAGAACAUGGCUUAC
rnacentral:RNase_P_RNA from 1 species